UACAGAGGUCCCAAGCGUUGUUCGGAUUCACUGGGCGUAAAGGGUGCGUAGGUGGUCAGGUAAGUCGGAUGUGAAAUCUCCGAGCUCAACUCGGAAACUGCAUUGGAAACUACUUGGCUAGAGGGUUGGAGGGGGGACUGGAAUGCUUGGUGUAGCAGUGAAAUGCGUAGAUAUCAAGCGGAACACCAGUGGCGAAGGCGAGUCCCUGGACAACUCCUGACACUGAUGCACGAAAGCUAGGGGAGCAAACAGG
rnacentral:rRNA from 1 species